rnacentral:rRNA from 1 species
GUUUGAUUAUGGCUCAGAUUGAACGCUGGCGGCAUGCCUUACACAUGCAAGUCGAACGGCAGCAUAGGAGCUUGCUCCUGAUGGCGAGUGGCGAACGGGUGAGUAAUAUAUCGGAACGUGCCCUAGAGUGGGGGAUAACUAGUCGAAAGAUUAGCUAAUACCGCAUACGAUCUACGGAUGAAAGUGGGGGAUCGCAAGACCUCAUGCUCCUGGAGCGGCCGAUAUCUGAUUAGCUAGUUGGUGGGGUAAAAGCCUACCAAGGCGACGAUCAGUAGCUGGUCUGAGAGGACGACCAGCCACACUGGGACUGAGACACGGCCCAGACUCCUACGGGAGGCAGCAGUGGGGAAUUUUGGACAAUGGGGGCAACCCUGAUCCAGCAAUGCCGCGUGAGUGAAGAAGGCCUUCGGGUUGUAAAGCUCUUUUGUCAGGGAAGAAACGGUUUUGGCUAAUAUCCAGAACUAAUGACGGUACCUGAAGAAUAAGCACCGGCUAACUACGUGCCAGCAGCCGCGGUAAUACGUAGGGUGCAAGCGUUAAUCGGAAUUACUGGGCGUAAAGCGUGCGCAGGCGGUUGUGUAAGACAGAUGUGAAAUCCCCGGGCUCAACCUGGGAAUUGCAUUUGUGACUGCACGGCUAGAGUGUGUCAGAGGGGGGUAGAAUUCCACGUGUAGCAGUGAAAUGCGUAGAUAUGUGGAGGAAUACCGAUGGCGAAGGCAGCCCCCUGGGAUAACACUGACGCUCAUGCACG